UACGAACCGUCCAAACGUUAUUCGGAUUUAUUGGGCUUAAAGGGUAUGUAGGCGGCCCUUCAAGUCGGGUGUGAAAGCCCUCGGCUCAACCGAGGAACUGCGCCCGAUACUGUAGGGCUUGAGGGAGACAGAGGUAAGCGGAACUGAUGGUGGAGCGGUGAAAUGCGUUGAUAUCAUCAGGAACACCGGUGGCGAAGGCGGCUUACUGGGUCUCUACUGACGCUGAUGCACGAAAGCCAGGGUAGCGAACGGG
rnacentral:rRNA from 1 species